rnacentral:tmRNA from 1 species
GGGGCUGUCCUGGUUUCGACGUGGGUUCGGGACCGGUGCGGUGCAUGUCGAGCUUGAGUGACGCUCGUAAAUC